rnacentral:rRNA from 1 species
CCUACGGGUGACAGCAGUAGGGGAUCUUGCACAAUGGGGGGAACUCUGAUGCAGCGACGCCGCGUGGGUGAAGGAGCGUUUCGGCGCGUAAAGCUCUAUCGUCAGGGAAGAAGAAGGACGGUACCUGAAUAAGCAGCCCCGGCUAACUACGUGCCAGCAGCCGCGGUAAUACGUCGGGGGCAAGCGUUAUCCGGUUGUACUGGGUGUAACGGUGGCGCAGCCGGCAGAGCAAGCCAGGAGUGAAAGCCCGGGGCCCAACCCCGGGACUGCUCUUGGAACUGCGCGGCUGGAGUGCAGGAGGGGCAGGCGGAAUUCCUGGUGUAGCGGUGAAAUGCGUAGAUAUAAGGAGGAACACCGGUGGCGAAGGCGGCCUGCUGGACUGCGACUGACGUUGAGGCCCGAAAGCGUGGGGAGCAAACAGGAUUAGAUACCCCUGUAGUC